rnacentral:rRNA from 1 species
GUCGUACGAGAGUUUUUACUCUAGUGGCGGACGGGUGAGUAACACGUGAGAAUUUGCCUUUAGGAGGGGGACAACAAUCGGAAACGAAUGCUAAUACCCCAUAUGCUUUCGAGUGAAAUGGAUUUUAUCCGCCUAGAGAGAAGCUCGCGGCUGAUUAGCUUGUUGGUAAGGUAAGAGCUUACCAAGGCGACGAUCAGUAUCUGGUUUGAGAGGACGAUCAGACACACUGGAACUGAGACACGGUCCAGACUCCUACGGGAGGCAGCAGUGGGGAAUUUUCCGCAAUGGGCGAAAGCCUGACGGAGCAAUACCGCGUGAGGGAAGAAUGCCUAUGGGUUGUAAACCUCUUUUUUCAGGGAGGAAUCAAAUGACGUGUACCUGAAGAAUAAGCAUCGGCUAACUCCGUGCCAGCAGCCGCGGUAAGACGGAGGAUGCAAGUGUUAUCCGGAAUCACUGGGCGUAAAGCGUCUGUAGGUGGUUUAAUAAGUCAACUGUUAAAUCUUGAUGGCUCAACUUCAAAAUCGCAGUCGAAACUAUUAGACUAGAGUAUAGUAGAGGUAAAGGGAAUUUCCAGUGGAGCGGUGAAAUGCGUAGAUAUUGGAAAGAACACCGAUGGCGAAAGCACUUUACUGGGCUAUUACUAACACUCAGAGACGAAGCUAGGGUAGCAAUGGGAUAGAUACCCAGUAGUCUAGCUGUAACAUGGAUCUAGAUGUGACAGUCGACUGUGCAUAUCAGCUACGCGUAGUAUCCGCUGG